rnacentral:rRNA from 1 species
GACGAACGCUGGCGGCGUGCUUAACACAUGCAAGUCGAACGGAAAGGCCCUGCUUGCAGGGUACUCGAGUGGCGAACGGGUGAGUAACACGUGGGUGAUCUGCCCUGCACUUCGGGAUAAGCCUGGGAAACUGGGUCUAAUACCGGAUAGGAGCCAUUCUUAGUGUGAUGGUUGGAAAGUUUUUUCGGUGUAGGAUGAGCUCGCGGCCUAUCAGUUUGUUGGUGGGGUAAUGGCCUACCAAGGCGGCGACGGGUAGCCGGCCUGAGAGGGUGGACGGCCACAGUGGGACUGAGAUACGGCCCAGACUCCUACGGGAGGCAGCAGGGGGGAAUAUUGCACAAUUGGCGGAAGCCUGAUGCAGCGACGCCGCGUGGGGGAUGACGGCCUUCGGGUUGUAAACUCCUUUCGCUAGGGACGAAGCUUUUUGUGACGGUACCUAGAUAAGAAGCACCGGCUAACUACGUG